rnacentral:rRNA from 1 species
ACUCCUACGGGAGGCAGCAGUGAGGAAUAUUGGUCAAUGGACGGAAGUCUGAACCAGCCAAGUAGCGUGCAGGAUGACGGCCCUAUGGGUUGUAAACUGCUUUUAUAUAGGGAUAAAGUCGGGGACGUGUCCCCGUUUGUAGGUACUAUAUGAAUAAGGACCGGCUAAUUCCGUGCCAGCAGCCGCGGUAAUU